rnacentral:rRNA from 1 species
UAUCACUAAGCGGAGGAAAAGAAACUAACAAGGAUUCCCUCAGUAACGGCGAGUGAACAGGGAAAAGCCCAGCACCGAAGCCUGUGGCCAUUUGGUCACUAGGCAAUGUGGUGUUCAGGUCGUUCCGCAGAGACACUGCUCCACCCUAAGUCCAACAAUGAGUACGGUUUUUGGACAUGGCCCAUCGAGGGUGAAAGGCCCGCGAGGGUGGAGAUCAGGCAGGCCAGUGUCUCUCUGGGUAGACCUUGGAGUCGGGUUGUUUGUGAAUGCAGCCCAAAGUGGGUGGUAAACUCCAUCCAAGGCUAAAUACCAGCACGAGUCCGAUAGCGAACAAGUACCGUGAGGGAAAGUUGAAAAGUACUUUGAAGAGAGAGUAAACAGUGCGUGAAACCGCUCAUAGGUAAACGGGUGGAGUUGAACUGCAAGCUCUGGGGAUUCAGCUGGUGAGUGUGAAUUGAGCUUGGUCAUAUUGGUUGGACGCCGGGGUCUGUGUAGUAGCAGGUCUUCGCUUUCGGGCGGGGAUGCGCGUUGCACUUAUCAGGUGUUGUGCGCUCCGGUGUUCUUCGGGCCAACUUGCCAGUGCACUUUCUCAGAGUGUUCACCACGACCGGCACUGCUGUCUGGCUGUUGUAGUUAAACCGGUCUCGUAUUGGCCUUGUGUCUUUGCUUGAUCGGGAUGGCAGGUAGCUCGUUGACUUGCUUACAGUUCGCUGUGGGCGUCGGUCUUCGGGUGUAAUCAGCUGACUGCAAUGGUUCUGUGCAGUGUGUCGGAGACGGCGGCUUGUGGUGUGUGCGCGCGUGCUGGUCGUUGGCGUGUUCGAGUUUGGUUGCCAUGUUGCCUGUUCAAGCAGGCCUGGUGAUGGCUCGGAUUCGUUUGGCGGCUAUGUGCGUGUGUUUCACUAUUUCCAGGGCCAAUAGUCUGUGGUGUAGUGGUAGACUAUCCACCUGA